rnacentral:tRNA from 2 species
CAUUAAGAAUCUUAAAGUAAGAAUUGGUCUCUUAAACCAAAAUUUAGUAAUAUAACAAUUACUCUUAAUGA